CAUCACACUCCGGGGCCUGUCGUGGGGUUGGGGGAGGGGGGAGGGAUAGCAUUAGGAGAUAUACCUAAUGUAAAUGACAAGAUAGUGGGUGCAGCACACCAACAUGGCACAUGUAUACAUAUGUAACAAACCUGCACAUUGUGCACAUGUACCCUAGAACUUAAAGUAUAAUUAAAAAAAAAAAAAAUAUAUAUAUAUAUAUAUGUGUGUAAAAUGCCUGGCACAUAGUCAACCCACGUGUUAGUGAUUGCUACAAUUUAAUUAAUUUGAUAGCAUGUUCAGAGCUAGAUUUAGGGUGUGGCUAUCAUGGAUGCUAAAAUAUAACAGGUACAUAAAAAUAACCCUAGAAAUAUCAUGAGAUAAAUAAAACUAUUUAUCAGAAAAAAAAUUGGCCUUCUGAAUUCUUUUUCUGGAAAUUCAGAGAUUUCUUCUUGGCUUGCAUCCAUUGCUGGUGAGCUAGUGUGAUCUUUUGGGGGUGUCAAAGAACCUUGUUUUGUCAUAUUACCAGAAUUGUUUAUCUGUUUUUUUCUCAUUUGGGUAGACUAUGACAGAGGGAAGAUCUGGGACUCAAGGGCUGCACUCCAGAUUCUUUUGUCCCACGGUGUGCUUCCUUGAUGUGGUGCCCUCCCCCUUCCCCUAGGGGUGGGGCUUCCUGAAAGCCAAACUGCAGUGAUUGUUAUUUCUCUUCUGGGUCUAGCCACCCAGCGGGUCUACUGGGCUCUGAGCUCGUACUGCAGAGUGUCUGCAAAGAGUCCUAUGAUGUGAUCCAUCUUCAGGUCUCUCAGCCAUGGAUACCAGCACCUGCUCUGGUGGUGGUAGCAGGGGAGUGAGGUGGACUCUGUGUGGGACCUUAGUUGUAGUUUUGUUUAAUGCUCUGGUGUUCUCGAAUGCUGGUUGUGCUGGCAGUAAAGUUGUCACGUGGACAGACUCAGGACCUCUAGUUAGCCAGGAUGUCAUAGGCAGUGGAGUUAGCUAUUGUUUUCUCCUUUCUUGAGGCAGGGUUGUUUUUUUAUGAGUUGCUGUAAUGGUUUGUGUUGGUUGGCCUCCAGCCAGGAGGUGGCACUUUCAAGAAAGCAUCUGCUGCGGUAUUAUAGGAAGGAUACAAGCUUGCCCUAGGGUAGCCUAGAUAGAUACUGGGGUUUCUCAGGUGGUGGGUGGUGCCAUAGAGCUCUCAAGAGAUUAUGACUUCGGCUGCCACAGCAGGUAGAGAAAGACCAUAGGGGGAUUAUGGCUGCCUCUGCUGAGUCAUACAGGUCACCAGGGAAGUAGGAGGAUGCUGCAGUGACAGGCCCCACCCAGCUCCCACAGAGCCAGUAAGGCCAGUCUCACUCCCACCAUGCUCCCCCAACAGCACCGAGUUUAUAUCCAGGCAGCUGAUUCUGCCCUGGAAAAUUCAUGCUUGGUUGAAAUUAUUACAAAGCAGCUGGAAGUUUCCUUCUCCCUGUGGUCCUUCCCCAACACCACUGACAGCCCUCCCCAAGGACUUCUGUGAGAUAAAGUCAGAAAUGGAUUCCCUGGGCUUUCUUGGGGCCUGGGAGUGCCUACAGGGCUCUUCAUGCUGCUGCUUCUACUUUUGUAUUUCUCCCAGCUUUCUAAAUUCGUUUCAGCUCCAGCUGGCAGAGGUAUACAAUCUGCUGAGCGUCAGGAACACAAGCUGCUGAGCAUCCGGGAUACAAGUGGCUGAGCGUCAAGCAGAGAAGCAGCAACUGAACAUCAGAGUCUAAGGAUAGACAUGGCUAACUUCAGUUGGUGUGGCUUCAGGGAAAGAUCACCUUCUUCCUGCACCACCUCCUUUCCAAUUCCCCAUCCCACUGAGAGCCAUGCUUAUUGCCCAAUAAAAUCCUCCGUGUAUACUACCCUUCAA